CUCUGCAGCCCUGACCUGGCCCGGAGUUGCCUGAAGUCUGGUCUGGAACUGGAGCCCUUCGCAUCUAGGAAGUAAAGGGUGAUGGGAAGACUCCAGCCAGUGGACAGGUCCAGAAGGCCAUUGGGAAGGGCUGAGCCUGGAUGCUGUUCAUGGAAGGGAUUAGGGAACACUGUUCUGAAAGCUGGAAGAGCGAGAUCAAGGUGUCAUCAUGCUUGGUUGCUUCUGAGGCCUUCCCCCUGGGCUUGCAGAUGGCCAUCUUCUCACUGUGACUUUGCGUGGUCCUCCCUCUGUGUGCUAAUCUUAUCUUCUCAUAACACCAGUCAUAUUGGAUUAGGGCCUCCCAGUGACCUCGUUUAAGCUUAACCAUUUCUUUAAAGAUCCUAUCUCCAUGUCUAGUCAUGC
ensembl:lncRNA